rnacentral:lncRNA from 1 species
GAGCCCCUCUCCUGCUGGAGACACUCGGCACUCAGAAAGUGUGUGCUGAGUGGAUACAAGUGCAGCAAGCUUGCACAGCCUUACAAUGUGUAAUCUCAUGUCUGGCAUAGAGCCCCAUUUUCAUUCUUUGUAAAAUGAGUAAGUGGGGCUGGGUGAUCCAUACUCUCCUUUCAAUUCAGAAGUCCACAUUGAGCCUGAUAUCAAAUAGCUUCCCAGCCAGCGCCAGGCCAAGACCCAGACUGUUCAAUGUGCCUGUGUGGGACCAGCUUGCUGCCUGCUGCCCAGUGCCAGCCAGCAACUCCAGGCUCACAAAGGAGCACCUGCAGGCACCUGCAGGAGAUCUUUGUUACUUAGUAGCUGUGACUGGGCUGAGACAAAACCAUUGCUUAAGUGGGCAAAACUCGGGAGGAUAGAAAAACACACUCUUGAAAACAGGUGAUGACGCCCUGAAAUUCAGCAAACUGCAGGGACACGUGUUGUUCUACCGCAGGUCAGAGUGUGUCAGUCAUCACUCAAUGCCACUCACAGACCACCGACUUCAGAAUACCUAGGUGUAAAGGUCUGUACAAAA